UUGGAGGGCAAGUCUGGUGCCAGCAGCCGCGGUAAUUCCAGCUCCAAUAGCGUAUAUUAAAGUUGUUGCAGUUAAAAAGCUCGUAGUUGAAUUUCGGGAUCAAUGUUUCGGUCAUGCCGUUGGUAUGUACUGAUAUUAUUGGUUUCUCACCUCCUAAAGAACCGUAAUGCCAUUAAUUUGGUGUCACGGGGAAUUAGGACUGUUACCUUGAAAAAAUUAGAGUGUUUAAAGCAGGCUCACGCUUGAAUACAUUAGCAUGGAAUAAUGAAAUAGGACAUCCGAUUCUAUUUUGUUGGUUUCUAGGAUCGAUGUAAUGAUUAAUAGGGAUAGUUGGGGGCAUUAGUAUUCAAUUGUCAGAGGUGAAAUUCUUGGAUUUAUUGAAGACUAACUACUGCGAAAGCAUUUGCCAAGGAUGUUUUCAUUAAUCAAGAACGAAAGUUAGGGGAUCGAAGACGAUCAGAUACCGUCGUAGUCUUAACCAUAAACUAUGCCGACUAGGGAUCGGAUGAUGUUAAUUUUUUAAUGACUCAUUCGGCACCUUACGGGAAACCAAAG
rnacentral:rRNA from 1 species